rnacentral:rRNA from 1 species
GUGGGGAAUCUUGCGCAAUGGGCGAAAGCCUGACGCAGCCAUGCCGCGUGGAUGAUGAAGGUCUUAAGAUUGUAAAAUCCUUUCACCGGUGAAGAUAAUGACUGUAGCCGGAGAAGAAGCCCCGGCUAACUUCGUGCCAGCAGCCGCGGUAAUACGAAGGGGGCUAGCGUUGCUCGGAUUUACUGGGCGUAAAGGGCGCGUAGGCGGACAUUUAAGUCAGGGGUGAAAUCCCGGGGCUCAACCUCGGAACUGCCUUUGAUACUGGGUGUCUUGAGUAUGAGAGAGGUGUGUGGAACUCCGAGUGUAGAGGUGAAAUUCGUAGAUAUUCGGAAGAACACCAGUGGCGAAGGCGACACACUGGCUCAUUACUGACGCUGAGGCGCGAAAGCGUGGGGAGCAAACAGGAUUAGAUACCCCAGUAGUCC